AAAUUUCCAUCGCGUACUAAUUUUUUUUUCCUCAAUCUACUCUUUCCUCUUAGGCUGCUGGUUUUCCAGAACCUGAGAUCAUUCACUAUAAUCCCAAGGAAUUUGACUUUGGUAAAAAGAAGGCAUUCCCAUUCCGCGACCAGCAUUUCUUUGCAUCUGUUGACAAGGCGAAACAUGUUCUUGGAUGGAAACCUGAAUUUGACCUGGUAGAAGGCCUUGCAGAUUCUUACAAUCUAGACUUUGGUAGAGGAACAUACAGGAAAGAGGCUGAUUUCUCCACUGAUGACUUGAUUCUUAGUAAGAGUCUUGUUCUCCAGGCCUAGAUCUUUAGAUUUUGUCUCACUGUUUCUCUCUUCUUCUCUUUUUUUUUUUUUU